rnacentral:rRNA from 1 species
AAAAGAACUCUGAAUAGAGAGUUAAAUAGUACGUGAAACUGCUUAGAGGUUAAACCCGAUGAACCUGAAUAUCCAAUAUAGAGAAUUCAUCAUUAAUAUAUUAAUUUUAAUUAAUAUAAUGGUGUGCAUUUUCUCUAUAUAAUGGACAUUGUAAUCUAUUAAUAUAAAAUAUAUUUAUCAUAAGAUCAUAAGCAUAUGUUUAUUUUAAUUAAAUUGUUUCGGCUUUUUAUUAUAAAAUAAUUGCUAAUGAUUUGAUAAAGUAUUGAUAGAUUUAAUCAUAUGUAUAAUGCAUAAAUUCAUAUGAAUUUUAUAAUAUAGCAAUAUAUUAUAAGCAUUAAUACGAUUUACAAUGCGAAAGAUUCAGGAUACCUUCGGGAC